AUGCUAUGAUGAUCUCCAUCUUGGUUUCGCUUNUCACUGAAUUCCUGUGAUGACACAUUCUCUUGGCUGUCUGAGCAU
rnacentral:snoRNA from 1 species